CUAGCAAUAGGUAUGCUUAGGGAGGAGCUUGCGUCACAUUAGUUAGUUGGUGGGGUAAAGGCCUACCAAGACUAUGAUGUGUAGCCGGGCUGAGAGGUUGAACGGCCACAUUGGGACUGAGACACGGCCCAAACUCCUACGGGAGGCAGCAGUAGGGAAUUUUCGGCAAUGGAGGAAACUCUGACCGAGCAACGCCGCGUGAACGAUGAAGUAUUUCGGUACGUAAAGUUCUUUUAUUAGGGAAGAAUAAAUGAUGGAAAAAUCAUUCUGACGGUACCUAAUGAAUAAGCCCCGGCUAACUAUGUGCCAGCAGCCGCGGUAAUACAUAGGGGGCAAGCGUUAUCCGGAAUUAUUGGGCGUAAAGGGUGCGUAGGCGGUUAAAUAAGUUUAUGGUCUAAGUGCAAUGCUCAACAUUGUGAUGCUAUAAAAACUGUUUAGCUAGAGUAAGAUAGAGGCAAGUGGAAUUCCAUGUGUAGUGGUAAAAUGCGUAAAUAUAUGGAGGAACACCAGUAGCGAAGGCGGCUUGCUGGGUCUUUACUGACGCUGAGGCACGAAAGCGUGGGGAGCAAACAGGAUUAGAUACCCUGGUAGUCCACGCCGUAAACGAUGAGUACUAAACGUUGGGUAAAACCAGUGUUGAAGUUAACACAUUAAGUACUCCGCCUGAGUAGUACGUACGCAAGUAUGAAACUUAAAGGAAUUGACGGGACUCCGCACAAGCGGUGGAUCAUGUUGUUUAAUUCGAAGGUACCCGAAAAACCUCACCAGGUCUUGACAUGCUUCUGCAAAGCUGUAGAAACACAGUGGAGGUUAUCAGUUGCACAGGUGGUGCAUGGUUGUCGUCAGCUCGUGUCGUGAGAUGUUGGGUUAAGUCCCGCAACGAGCGCAACCCUUAUUGUUAGUUACCAGCACGUAAUGGUGGGGACUUUAGCAAGACUGCCAGUGAUAAAUUGGAGGAAGGUGGGGACGACGUCAAAUCAUCAUGCCCCUUAUGACCUGGGCUACAAACGUGAUACAAUGGCUGUUACAAAGGGUAGCUGAAGCGCAAGUUUUUGGCGAAUCUCAAAAAAACAGUCUCAGUUCGGAUUGAAGUCUGCAACUCGACUUCAUGAAGUUGGAAUCGCUAGUAAUCGCGAAUCA
rnacentral:rRNA from 1 species